rnacentral:SRP_RNA from 1 species
ACUGGGCGCAGUGGCGCGUGCCUGUAGUCCCAGCUACUCAGGAGGCUGAGGCGGGAGGAUCACUUGAGUCCAGGAGUUCUGGGCUGCAGUGAGCUACGCCAAUCGGGUGUCUGCACUAAGUUCGGCAUCAAUAUGGUGACCUCCCGGGAGCGGGGGACCACCAGGUUGCCUAAGGAGGGGUGAACCGGCCCAGGUCAGAAAUGGAGCAGGUCAAAACUCCCGUGCUGAUCAGUAGUGGGAUCGCACCUGUGAAUAGCCACUGCACUCCAGCCUGGGCAACACAGUGAGACCCUACCUUU